CGUAAAUUGGGAUCGGUGCGGAUUUCUGAGAAAAUAGAAAUGAACAGGGCAGUCAGCUCGAGAGCAGAGAAAUGAGAAAAGGAACACGAGCAAAGGGAGUGGGACAGGGAGAAGCAGGCUUCCUGCUGAGCAAGGCGCUGGAUGCCGGGCUUGAACUCGGGACCCUGGGAUCAUGCCCUGAGCCGAAGGCAGACGCUUUAACUGACUGAGCCACCCAGGCACCCCACUUAAAUAAAUUUUUUAAAAAAUA